rnacentral:tRNA from 1 species
GCGGGAGUAGCUCAGUGGCAGAGCGCCUCUUUGCCGAUGAGGAGGCCGCAGGUUCAAGUCCUGUCUCCCGCUCCA